UAUUACACUCUGUCAUUCAUUCAAGGAGC
rnacentral:piRNA from 1 species